AAACAGGUUUUCCGGCUCGAUCCCAUGAGACCGACGUCUGGAAUUAAAUGGCCACAGCGACAGAUUAUGAAAUCUCAAAGCCAGCAACCGUGGACUUUUCAUCCUCGAACCCCAAGGGCUCCAGAAUUGAGCUUUAUACCAAGAGUCGCUUUUAAAGGAACCCUCUCACCUGGGGAGGAAGAAGCUCAGAGAAUGGAUGUUGGCUGCUCAAAACCGCCUCCCUCAGGCCUGGCCUUCCCUUGGUGGCAGCAGGGCUCCGCCUCUGGAGAGAGGGCUCGCCCUGAGCGCGCAGCCCUGGCCUCGGUGCGCUUGCCUGUAGGGGAAGGGGGCUUCUCUAGGCUUCAGCCAGAGACCCCGCAAAGCAGCCACAAAAUGCCUCUCGCCCAGCCCAGGCUGCUCUGAGCUCUCUCGGGGCCCGGAGGCCUCUGUAUUUUCCGUCUGUGUUGUCCACCCGCGGCAAGACUAUGGGGGAUGGAGCAAGUGGGGGAGGUGGCGAAGGUGAAGGUGAACAGGAUCAGUGGGGGAUUCUGCGAGGUGGAUGGUUAUCUCACAGAGAUGCCUCUGGGUUAAUGAUAAAUUAUCUCCCCAAUACUCCCGUGUGAGCGCACAGAAGUGAUGCCCUUCCCGGUAAAGCAAUCAAGCCACGAGGUGUGGCUGUGGAGUUGGCGUCACUGUUUCCAGCUGGCAGGUCACCGAAGCUGCAGAGAAAAUGCCCGCCGUAAUGGCAGGUGGGUUUUCCAGGUGUACAAGGUGGCGUCCUCUCCAUAGAGCACAAGCAAACCUUAAGAAUCCUUCGUGCUGGCCGGCGUGGCUCAGUGGUUGAGCAUCACGCUAUG